ACUAUUAAAUCAUUUUAAAAGUUUAGCCAAAAAUAUUAAAUCAUUUAAAUAGCUUAUCCACAAUAUUAAAUUGAGGACCGUAUCUGCUAGCCGUUGAGGAGUACUACAUAACAGUCCCACCAUCUACAUUCAAAAGUGAAUUGGUGUGAAAUAAAAAACAAUUAAAUGAAUUAUCUGGGGAUGAACAGUUAUGCAGAUUAAACUCUGUUGGGUGGAUGGGCAGUUUUAGCUCUUCAACUGAUCCAAACAACUCAUCUAUUGCAUGUAGUACCAGAAAAUAAGGAGCUGCUGUUAUACAGAUAUUCAUGUUUACCAGGGGAUCACAAUUUACUUUUUUAAGCCUCAUCUAGUUAUCACUCUCGUUAGGAUGCACAAUAAGGAGUACUGUUUUCUUUUUUUCCUUUUUUGUUAUUUAUACAGUUUUGGGUUGGACAACAUGUCAACUCAUCUUUACUGAUUUGCUAAUUUAGAGAUUUGUUUUAAUGUCAAUUUCACUAAACCUUAAUUAUUAGACUGCUUGAUAGGACAGCUCAAUUAUUUAAAAAUCAAAUACCCUUCAUUCACAAUAAUCCCCACUUAUUUAAUUAUAUGCCUGGCUACAAACCUACUCUUUCUUUUAAACAAUUUUUAAAAUAAAUAUAUACACAGAUACACAGGUACAGAGUUUAUGCAUGCAAUUCAUAUGAUUUUAUUUGUUUUAUUUGUUAAUCUUCUACCAACCACUACCAAAUGUCUUUGUUGUCCUUGUCUUUAUUUCUAAUGGAAGUUUUUUGUUUAGUUUUUUUGUAAAAUAACAAUGUCAUAUAUUACUUCUAAGUCUUAGACAUUGAAACAUCUAAUAAUGUCCUCAUGUCCUUCUACAAUUUUAUUAUUAAAAUGUAGUGUUCAUCUUUGUUUAAUAUCUUAAUGCACAUCAAAUAUUAUAUUGUGUCAUGUUUCCCCUAUUUUUCAAGGACCAAAAUCGAGUCCUUAGCUUUCUUAUAUUUUACUUGCU